UACGUAGGGGCUAGCGUUGUCCGGAUUUAUUGGGCGUAAAGAGCGUGUAGGCGGCCAUGUAGGUCCGUUGUGAAAACUCGAGGCUCAACCGUCGAGACGCCGAUGGAAACCAUGUGGCUAGAGUCCGGAAGAGGAGAGUGGAAUUCCUGGUGUAGCGGUGAAAUGCGUAGAGAUCCGGAGGAACACCAAAGGCGCAGGCAGGGUCCUGGAAGCCACUGACGCUCAUGGACGAAAGCUAGGGAGCGAACGGG
rnacentral:rRNA from 1 species